GCCUUCGUAGCUCAGGGGAUAGAGCACCGCUCUCCUAAAGCGGGUGUCGGCAGUUCGAAUCUGCCCGGGGGCA
rnacentral:tRNA from 1 species